GGGCUCGUAGCUCAAUGGCAGAGCAGCGGACUCAUAAUCCGUUGGUUGCAGGUUCGAGUCCUGCCGAGCCCA
rnacentral:tRNA from 1 species